rnacentral:rRNA from 1 species
AACGAACGCUGGCGGCAGGCCUAACACAUGCAAGUCGAGCGAAGCCUUCGGGCUUAGCGGCGGACGGGUGAGUAACGCGUGGGAACGUGCCCUUUGGUACGGAAUAGCCCCGGGAAACUGGGGGUAAUACCGUAUGUGGUCGAGAGACGAAAGAUUUAUCGCCAAAGGAUCGGCCCGGGUUGGAUUAGGUAGUUGGUGGGGUAAUGGCCUACCAAGCCGACGAUCCAUAGCUGGUUUGAGAGGAUGAUCAGCCACACUGGGACUGAGACACGGCCCAGACUCCUACGGGAGGCAGCAGUGGGGAAUCUUAGACAAUGGGGGAAACCCUGAUCUAGCCAUGCCGCGUGAUCGAUGAAGGCCUUAGGGUUGUAAAGAUCUUUCAGUGGGGAAGAUAAUGACUGUACCCACAGAAGAAGCCCCGGCUAACUCCGUGCCAGCCGCCGCCGUAAAAC